CGCUACAUAAAGAGGUGGGGGCCGGCGGCACGCAGUACGAGGUUCACCGCGUUGCCAGGCUCCCCACCGAAAACCCCGACCCGAUCUAGGUCUAGCGCUGACAGUGACGGGAAGCUCCGCCGCCGCCACUGCCCACACACCGCCGCCAUCCACUCCCUGCCAUCACCGGCCACCGUCACCAUGGCCGGCACCGGGAGUUCCUCAUCUGCACCUGGACAAGGUAGG
rnacentral:rRNA from 1 species